UACAUGGGGUGCAAACGUUGCUCGGAAUUAUUGGGCGUAAAGCGCGCGUAGGCGGUUUCUCAAGUCGGAUGUGAAAGCCCUCGGCUUAACUGAGGAAGUGCACCCGAAACUGAGUAGCUAGAGUACUAAAGAGGGUCGCGGAAUUCCCGGUGUAGAGGUGAAAUUCGUAGAUAUCGGGAGGAACACCGGUGGCGAAGGCGGCGACCUGGGUAGAUACUGACGCUGAGGCGCGAAAGCGUGGGGAGCAAACAGG
rnacentral:rRNA from 1 species